rnacentral:rRNA from 1 species
GACGAACGCUGGCGGCGUGCCUAAUACAUGCAAGUUGAGCGCUGAAGGUUGGUACUUGUACCAACUGGAUGAGCAGCGAACGGGUGAGUAACGCGUGGGGAAUCUGCCUUUGAGCGGGGGACAACAUUUGGAAACGAAUGCUAAUACCGCAUAAAAACUUUAAACACAAGUUUUAAGUUUGAAAGAUGCAAUUGCAACACUCAAAGAUGAUCCCGCGUUGUAUUAGCUAGUUGGUGAGGUAAAGGCUCACCAAGGCGAUGAUACAUAGCCGACCUGAGAGGGUGAUCGGCCACAUUGGGACUGAGACACGGCCCAAACUCCUACGGGAGGCAGCAGUAGGGAAUCUUCGGCAAUGGACGAAAGUCUGACCGAGCAACGCCGCGUGAGUGAAGAAGGUUUUCGGAUCGUAAAACUCUGUUGGUAGAGAAGAACGUUGGUGAGAGUGGAAAGCUCAUCAAGUGACGGUAACUACACAGAAAGGGACGGCUAACUACGUG